AAUUUUAAAGCUCUUGAGAAGACUAAGCUUUUAGUUGGUGACAAGAAAAAGUCACAGUACUCAAGAUGUGGCAGAACAGACAAAGGAGUUUCAUCUUUUGGACAAGUCAUUUCCCUGUUUCUACGAUCAAACCUGCGACCUAAGAACACAGAUGAUGCAAACAAUUGGGGACUUUCUAUAGAUAGAGAUGGUUUAGCUGUAUGAGCAGGGAGUACAAAUAUUUCUUUUGGAGAAAUAAUUUGGAUAUUAGGGUAACUCUUCAUUUUAUAGUUUAUGACUAUUUCAUUUCAUAAACUACUUUAUGCUGAUUUUGAACCUAAAAAUUUGAUAUUAUGACUAUUUCAUUUCAUUUGAUAGAAGUCCUUUCUCUGUUUUUAUGCUAGGCAAUGGAGAGUGCAGGCCAAAAGUUUGUGGGGAUCAUGAUUUCAGAAAUUUUUGUAAGAUGGAUGCAUUUAAUGUCCACGACUACAAGCGUCAUAUAACAUCCUUUGAACUCUCUUCUUGUGAUAAGAGGUUGGAAAGUAAUGAACUGUGGUGUUUCAAAAUUAAGGGCAGUGCAUUUUUGUGGCACCAAGUUCAUUGCAUGGUUGCUGUGAUGUUUAUGGUUGGCCAAGGUCUUGAAUCUCCUGAUGUACAUAAUAUAAGAUACUUCGCCAUUCUCUGUCUUGGUUACCAUAAGUUGAACGUAGGAAAUGGGUGAGAGAUAGUUUGUUUUAUAUCUAUUAGUUAAUGCAACAAAAUGCACGGGGCUACC